UGGAAGUAAAAAUCGUAACAAGGUUUCCGUAGGUGAACCUGCGGAAGGAUCAUUACCUAGAGUUGUAGGCUUUGCCUGCUAUCUCUUACCCAUGUCUUUUGAGUACCUUCGUUUCCUCGGCGGGUCCGCCCGCCGACUGGACAAUUUAAACCAUUUGCAGUUGCAAUCAGCGUCUGAAAAAACUUAAUAGUUACAACUUUCAACAACGGAUCUCUUGGUUCUGGCAUCGAUGAAGAACGCAGCGAAAUGCGAUAAGUAGUGUGAAUUGCAGAAUUCAGUGAAUCAUCGAAUCUUUGAACGCACAUUGCGCCCCUUGGUAUUCCAUGGGGCAUGCCUGUUCGAGCGUCAUUUGUACCUUCAAGCUCUGCUUGGUGUUGGGUGUUUGUCUCGCCUUUGCGCGCAGACUCGCCUUAAAACGAUUGGCAGCCGGCGUAUUGAUUUCGGAGCGCAGUACAUCUCGCACUCUGCCUUCAUAACGACGGCGUCCACAAGUACAUUUAAACGCUUGACCUCGGAUCAGGUAGGGAUACCCGCUGAACUUAAGCAUAUCAAAAGUCCGGAGGAAA
rnacentral:rRNA from 1 species